rnacentral:lncRNA from 1 species
AUAAAGGAGUCCUCAGACAGUACCUAAAAUAUUCAGCAGUCUGUGCCCAUGCCCCGCAUUGUCGUGGCCUGGCUGGAUCAUGAGAGUAGGUCAAUUAGGGAACCAAAAGAAAGUCAACAACGAAGGAUUCCCACUCCCACUCUUCUCUUUUUUUCUGGGAGGGGAAUCCCCUUGGAUGGAAGCCAAGUCAACGCUGCUCAGAC